rnacentral:lncRNA from 1 species
GUUUCGUAACGCCAUCAAUUAGGGUUUCUAAUUGACCAUUAGGGUUCUCUAAUUGUCUGUGUAUGUUCUAACACAGUCAUUACGAUCUCUAACUUCAACCGAUUAGGGUUGUAAUAAUUAGGGUUUGUCCUAAUUAUCGACAUACAACAGUAAUUAGGGUUUUCUUCUAAUUACCGACAUCUUAUACACAGUAACCUUCAUAUACACAGUCACUACUCAGUCAUAUCUCAUAACUGAGUUUAAUAAUUAGGGUUUCACAGCACGGUAAUAUGCUAUGACCUAAUUGACCGUCAUUGCUCAAUAUUAUCUGUCCGCACAUACACAGUACAUAAUUAUUGUACUGUAAAAUCAUUAUAACAAUAAUAUAAUAUUAUUAUUCUCAUCUCUUGAUCACAAUCCCAAUUCAGGGUUUGGAUCUCAUAUCUGAC